rnacentral:lncRNA from 1 species
AUAGAUAUUGAUCCAGUAUGCGUAAUAGGAAGAGCAGUACUGUUAACACAUGAAUAGAUAAGGCCACCUAUUAACGUUUGAAUAGAUAAGACCACCAACCUCCCAAGUGAUUUGUAUAUAUCUUGUUGAACUACUUUUUAUUACCUUUAUUAUCUCAUGUACAGUUGAUGUUACUUGUAUAUAUACACAAGAUUAAUGAGAAUCAAGGAAGCCCAAUCUUCACAUGGUAUUAGAGCU